rnacentral:rRNA from 1 species
UACGUAGGUCCCGAGCGUUGUCCGGAUUUAUUGGGCGUAAAGCGAGCGCAGGUGGUUUAUUAAGUCUGGUGUAAAAGGCAGUGGCUCAACCAUUGUAUGCAUUGGAAACUGGUAGACUUGAGUGCAGGAGAGGAGAGUGGAAUUCCAUGUGUAGCGGUGAAAUGCGUAGAUGUAUGGAGGAACACCGGUGGUGAAAGCGGCUCUCUGGCCUGUAACUGACACUGAGGCUCGAAAGCGUGGGGAGCAAACAGG